UCCAGCCAUGGCUGCUGCCACGCUGCCAUGGACAACCACCAAACGACACCUAAACAAGAGGACCAUCUAGCUUCGGACUGAUGCUGCGUUCUUCACUGUCCAUUUGCUGCUGCCCGCGCUCCUUAUCCUCCAAGAUCACGUUGGAUUCUUCUUCUCCAAGAUCAUGUCAUUGUUGCUGUUGCGUUUCUUCAUUGUUCGCGUUGCUGCCAUGCUUCCUUCUCCGUCCUUUUCCAAACAACCAAACUACUUUCCGUUGGAGUUCGUCGUCGCUUCGAUCCGGUACACUACUCUGAAUCAUUUCAACAUAUGUAUUGAAGAUGAAAUAAAAUGGCCGGAAGAUUUAAGUUUUUUUUAAUAGAAUAUUCGCAUUUUUAGUUAAAUAUUCAUUAUGUGUCUCAUGUUAUGUAGAUGGUAGAAGUAUUUAUUAUGUGAAGUAUUAAACUGCGGGACUAGUGGAUGGGUGUCAGUAUGAACACCAUAAGUAUUAGUUUCGGCUUUGUUAAAUUUUUA